CCUACGGGUGGCUGCAGUGAGGAAUAUUGGUCAAUGGGCGGGAGCCUGAACCAGCCAAGUCGCGUGAGGGAAGACGGUCCUAUGGAUUGUAAACCUCUUUAGGCGGGGAGCAAGGCCGGGCACGUGUGCCCGGAGGGAGAGGACCCGCAGAAGAAGCAGCGGCUAACUCCGGGCCAGCAGCCGCGGUAAUACGGAGGAUGCGAGCGUUAUCCGGAUUUAUUGGGGUUAAAGGGGGCGUAGGCGGUCGGAGAAGUUAGAGGUGAAAUCCCGCGGCUCCACUUCGGAAUUGCCUCUGAUACUGUUCGGCUAGAGCGUAGUUGCGGUAGGCGGAAUGUAUGUUGUAGCGGUGAACUGCUUAGCGCUCAUACAGAACCCCGAUUGCGAAGGCAGCUUACCAAGCUACUUCUGACGUUGAGGCACGACAGCGUGGGGAGCACACAGGAUUCGCUACCCUAGUAGUC
rnacentral:rRNA from 1 species